rnacentral:lncRNA from 10 species
CAGGGACUUCCUAGGCCACGCCACGCCGCUCCACCAGCUCAGGGAACCCCCUUGGCCGUGCAGACCUGCGCCACAGGGUCGUUUCCUCCCCUCCUUCCCUCGAAAGCGUAUGCAUUUCGUUGCCCCUGGAACUGGGGUCAUUUCAGGACCUCCCAAGGAGGGUCAGGAUGGUGGUAUUGGCCUUAGGGGACGCGGGCUCAGGUUGGCGGUUGAACCGCAUGUUCCUGUUUCAAACAAACCUAAAUGUAGGCCUGGAAGGCUGUGCACUGAAAUCCUAGUAUUAGGUUGGUGCAAAAUUAAUUGCGAUUUUUGCCAUUGUAGGUUGUCUGCAGAGUGAGAUUAUGGCGAAGCAUUUUAUUCUUUUUACAAACCUGCUUUUUCUCAGUUUUCCACAUUGGAUUUGCCAGCUACCUGCCUUUGCAGGACACCUCAGAAGUUACAGACUUGCCUGUGGAAAUGCAGAGAGCACCUGAGGUAUUUCCCGGACUCUCCAGUAGUAGCCUUGAAUGGCUGACCAACCGCAGUCACCUGCCAGAUCUUCUCAGAACCGGCCAGCCCACCAGCGACAGGCCCAUUAAGUGGCCUGGCCCAGCCCAGAUGGAAAACCCCCUCCACGUGACUUUCUAAAGAACAUGCAUGAAGACAAAACACCAGGUGCCUCAGGUGUGACACCCUGAGGACACAUCACCUGUACAGUAUCCUAACCCACCCAAGAUGACACAGUAAGGUAAAACCACAGUAGAGCCCAGGCCUGUUUGACUCUGAAGUCCAGGCUCCUUUCCAACUUAGUGCCCUAAAGGCCUGAUUGGGGUGGGGGUAGGCAGGAAGAUUCAAGCACUGAUUGUUUGUAGCCCAGGCUGGGAGGGCAACAGCUCUAGAAAAAAAGUCACUCACUGCUUUAACCAUCUUCCAGCUAACUGCAGUGAGGUGUACAGGGCCAUGGGGCUCUGGGAUGAACUCUUCCACCUCUACACCUUGUAAACAAGGAUUCCAGACACACCCUCCAAAUGGGAAUGGAGACACACGUUUGGCAGAGUUGGACAGUAACGCUGCUCUCCUAUCAGCCUGGACUUUGAGGGGAGUGGAAAACAUGAGUGUGGAGGUGCAGCAGUCCUGGUAUCCCCUGAAACCAGCCUGUGGGGGGAACAGUCUUCCCAGGGGAGCUGCUCAGGAUCGUCCUGGUCCCAUGCAUCAGGAAGAAAAGGGAACCUGAGAGCAGAGGGAAAAUGCAGAAAGUGGGGCAGGGAGACUGCUCCCUGAAACCCCCAUGGGCUGCUGGUCCAAGCAGAAAGUGUUGUCGGAGGGGGGAGAGGCAGGGUGAAAUGGGACAGGAAACGAGGACUUCCGAUGAGGAGGAGGAGGGGGCAGUGGGCUGCGGGUCUUGGGGACUGAACAGAAUGGGGUUUGCUAGACAGAGCUUUCGUCUACCCACUCCUGAAGUCCUGCUGGACCUCAGCUGGCCCUUGUGAACUGUUGAGGGGGAUAUAAACACAAAGGCCUGCAUUCCUGUGGGUGCACAAUCCUAAGAGACCAUGGACUGCCUGUGUGUGGUGGGAACAGGAAAAGGAGGCUGAGUGUAGCCCUGCUUGGAAUUUAGUGUCCACCACAGAUGUAUCCACUACCCAGGGCCAAAGACUCGGCAGCCUCAGAAGACUCAAUGGAAGCUGAGCACAGGACUAGAAAGGGUCAGGGCCCUCCUCUGUAUGUAGGGGUGGCACAUGGCCACUAGCUGGGUGAUGGGGCACUGAGAAAUUAAAUGUUUGACAUAAAAAUGUAAUCAGGACCCGAGAGGAGGUGGGUGGUGUAAUGAACAGCAUCCUAGAAGUCCGGUACAGAUUUCACGUGUCACCUUCUAGUUCCUUAUCUGAAAUUGAAAGGUGAGGUCAGGUGCAGUGGCUCAGGCCUGUAAUCCCAGCACUUAGGGAGGCUGAGGAGGGCAUAUCAUUGAGGUCAGGUGUUUGAGACCAGCCUGGCCAACAUGGUGAAACCUCUACUAAAAAUACGAAAAUUAGCCGGCUGUGCUGCACACGCCUGUCGUCCCAGCUACUUGGGAGGCUGAGGCAGGAGAAUCCCUUGAACCUGGGAGGCAGAGGCUGCAGUGAGCUGAGAUCACACCACUGCACUCAAGCCUGGGCAUCACAGCGAGACUUCUUAAAAAAAAAAAAAAA